ACUCCUACGGGAGGCAGCAGUAGGGAAUCUUCCACAAUGGACGAAAGUCUGAUGGAGCAACGCCGCGUGAACGAUGAAGGCCUCGGUCGUAAGUUACUGUUGUAGGAAGAACAAGUAGCGCAGGCAAUGGCGGCACCUUGACGGUACCUUGCGAGAAAGCCACGGCUAACUACGUGCCAGCAGCCGCGGUAAUACGUAGGUGGCAAGCGUUGUCCGGAAUUAUUGGGCGUAAAGCGCGCGCAGGCGGCCUCUUAAGUCUGAUGUGAAAGCCCCGGCUCAACCGGGGGAGGGCCAUUGGAAACUGGGAGGCUUGAGUAUAGGAGAGAAGAGUGGAAUUCCACGUGUAGCGGUGAAAUGCGUAGAGAUGUGGAGGAACACCAGUGGCGAAGGCGACUCUUUGGCCUAUAACUGACGCUGAGGCGCGAAAGCGUGGGGAGCAAACAGGAUUAGAUACCCUGGUAGGAUAGCG
rnacentral:rRNA from 1 species